rnacentral:tRNA from 1 species
GGGCGUGUGGCCUAGCGGACAGGGCGAGGGGUUCCUAACCCCUCGAUCCCGGGUUCGAAUCCCGGCACGCUCG